rnacentral:rRNA from 1 species
GAUCAUGGCUCAGGACGAACGCUGGCGGCGUGCUUAACACAUGCAAGUCGAACGAGAAUCUGCGGAACGAGGAUUCGUCCAAGUGAAGCAGAGGACAGUGGCGGACGGGUGAGUAACGCGUGAGGAACCUGCCUUUCAGAGGGGGACAACAGUUGGAAACGACUGCUAAUACCGCAUAACACAUGGGUGUCGCAUGGCACUGAUGUCAAAGAUUUAUCGCUGAAAGA